rnacentral:lncRNA from 1 species
UAACAUCAGGUCUUUGAUCUACCAAAAUCUUUUCUUGAUGUGCUUCUUUGGGUAUGAAUGAACAUGAGUCUGGGCUUCUCUGUUUUGUGUUCGAAGGAAAUUGAGAAUUGAUGAAGAACUAGCCAGGAGAGAGAGGAAAAUCUAACGCUAUAAAAAUUAAUAAUGAAUCACGUUGUUAGCAUUUAAAUAAAAUAAAGUGGCGAAAAGGACAAGGAAUUACCAAAACCUUUACUUCUAAGAAGCAAAAUGAAGUAAUUGCUUGGCUUGGCAUAUGGUACCGUGCAAUUGAAAGCAG